GCCUACCAUGCAAGUCGAACGAGAACGGGUUCUUCGGAAUCUUAGUAGAGUGGCGCACGGGUGAGUAACGCGUGGAUAAUCUACCUUAUGGAUUGGGAUAACUUUGCGAAAGCGGAGCUAAUACCGAAUGGUCUGAUUAAAUUAAUUUUUUUUGGUAAAGGUGGCCUCUAUAUAUAAGCUAUCGCCAUGAGAUGAGUCCGCGUAUCAUUAGCUAGUUGGUAAGGUAAUGGCUUACCAAGGCUACGAUGAUUAGCUGGUCUGAGAGGAUGAUCAGCCACACUGGAACUGAAACACGGUCCAGACUCCUACGGGAGGCAGCAGUGGGGAAUAUUGGGCAAUGGGCGCAAGCCUGACCCAGCAACGCCGCGUGAGGGAUGAAGGUUUUCGGAUCGUAAACCUCUGUCAGAAGGGAAGAAGUGGAUUAUAUUAAAUAGAUAUAGUUUUUGACGGUACCUUCAAAGGAAGCACCGGCUAACUCCGUGCCAGCAGCCGCGGUAAUACGGAGUGUGCGAGCGUUAUUCGGAAUUACUGGGCGUAAAGCGCGCGUAGGCGGCGAGGUAAGUCAGAUGUGAAAGCCCACGGCCCAACCGUGGAAUUGCAUUUGAAACUGCUUUGCUAGAGUUCGGGAGAGGAUAGCGGAAUUCCAGGUGUAGGAGUGAAAUCCGUAGAUAUCUGGAGGAACACCAGUGGCGAAGGCGGCUAUCUGGCCCGAUACUGACGCUGA
rnacentral:rRNA from 1 species